rnacentral:rRNA from 1 species
GACGUAGGGCGCGAGUGUUGUCCGGAUUUAUUGGGCGUAAAGAGCGUGUAGGCGGCCAGGUAGGUCUGCUGUGAAAACUCGAGGCUCAACCUCGAGACGUCGGCGGAAACCAUCUGGCUAGAGUCCGGAAGAGGAGAGUGGAAUUCCUGGUGUAGCGGUGAAAUGCGCAGAUAUCAGGAAGAACACCCGUGGCGAAGGCGGCUCUCUGGGACGGUACUGACGCUGAGACGCGAAAGCGUGGGGAGCGAACAGG